ensembl:lncRNA
AGCAACGUCUGGAUUAAAAAGUAAAACGAUAACAUUAAGAACAAUUAAUCUUGGACGUGACAUGGUGAGCGACGUGACACGGCUUGAGAAACACAAUAAAGCUGUGAGGAGGCCUCCUCUGUCCUCUAAUUGAAAUCACACAUCAGCUGUGUGUGUAACAUGGGCUGCUGCCUCCCACAGCCCCGGGGAAGGGAGCACCCAGCCCUCAUCCCGGGAGGUGGGGUAAAAUGAGUCAUUCUGAUUGAUUGAGGGUGAAAGCUUCCCCCCCCCCCCAACCCCCACAGGUUUAAUCAGCAAUUGCAGAGCUGUGGGCAGGAGAGCAGGUGUUGGGGCUCAGCCCCAUAGGUUGGUAGGUGCUUCUAGCAUUUUCCUGCUUUGCUAUAGCUUUUAGAGAUGGUUUUUGUUUCUCAGGUGACUAUAUGGGAGAGGACAAAUCCUAGCCCUGCCUCCAGCCCCACCACCUUGCUUUUUCCAUCUCCUCUGCCAGGUGCACGUGGUGUGGGACCAGGCUGAACCCAGCAGCAAGCCUGGGGGAUGCCUUGUGCAAGGGGUUGUCCUGGCUCUCUCAGAGCAACAGGCUAUAAGAAUACAAUCUUGCGCUAAGAAUAGGAGAGGCUAUUAAAGCUGGAUGGUACGUGGGGGAUUUCUGUAGGCAUGUGCUGGGGCUGUUAGCUGGGAAGCAGUCGUCUGCAAUACAAGUUGGUAUGGCAAGGCCAGGGGCUACAAGGUUACUGCAGGAGCUGCCAGCACAGCUCCCCAUCCUCCACGCAAUGUUCUGGUCUUCAGUUGGAAAUAAAGUAAAACUCCUAAACCUCUGGUGAGAUUUAUUGUCCUGUCAGCAGUGAAAACCUCAACUCAGUGUUACGCUGCCAGCUCCGGUGGACUAGUCCCUCUGUGAUACAGGACGGAUGUGUGUUUGGUUUUCUGUUGUUGGUUUUUUUUAUUAAGACAGCUUUGAGCUUGGAUGAGCACCCCAAACAGUCAGAAAACAACCCUCAGACCAGGCAGUUGCUGGAGCAGCAAUCAGCCUGCUCUGAGCAGCUCUCAGUGCUUGGCACUGUGUCUGCAACAGUGCUGCUCUGUUGCAGUGGGGAUGGAACUUCCCAAGCUCUGCAAGGGGCUGCAGCAAGACUUAAGGGUUGUGCUGCUUGGUUUGUGGUGACUUCUCUUUGGGCUUCAUGUGAGAAAAUGUGCAUCCUGGGGAGAGGCCUUCCCACCCUGUAUCCGACAAGCCAACCCCAGCCCACAUGUGGUACAGCUGGAAAGCUUGGGGUCUCACUUGAGAUCAGUUACUCGAUAUGUUAAAAAGAGGUUUGGAGGUGGGAGCACAAGCUAUGACUGCAGAAGCCUCUUAGUAUGUUGAGAUUCAAAGGGUAGAAAUGCCUUAUUUAGCUCACCAGCUCAACUGUAAUGCAGGGAGAACCAAGCUGGAAAGGCCCUGGCAUGCUGUGCCUGCAGAACAGAAGAGGGAGCUUAUCUGGGGGCUGCUCAGUGAUGAUAUUCCCCUCUCCACUGGGCAGUUACAAAAAACUGAUGGCUUCUUUGAGACUGAGGCUGCUUUGGGCUGGGGAAUAGGAAACUGCGGUGUUGAGUGGUAUGUGGGCAUUGCUCUUUGCUAGUUGUGUGACUGUUUUGCACCCUGCAGCUCCUCUGUGCUGGGGUACUCACCCUCCUGCUCUGAGCUGCUGGGCUGUGUACUGCCCACGUUCACAUCUGUGCAUCAGUGGGGGCAGAGCUGUAGAAUGGGUUUGCUUGUUUGUGAAGCUACCAAGUAAUGGGCUAGCUGUGGCCCAGGAGGGCUUGUGAAGAACUGUGGAGGCUCCUUAAAAGCCUGCCUUCCAACAGAGCUCUGGGGAGAGAUUUCCACAGCAGCAGUGGAAGUCUUUGCCCCACUUACUUGCAUCACUGCGCUUCAACUUCUCUGAAAUGUUGUCAUUAUGCUCAACCCAAGCUUGUAACUGCUCUGUUUUUCUGAGCGCACAAAAGUAAAGAUGUUUUACAGCAAUUCUCUGCUUUAACUGUCCCUUUUUGCACUGCUGUGUCCAUCUGCCCUUUUUCCCUAUCCGCUGCCACGGAGCCCUGCACAGCGAGAUGCCCGUGACGUGAGAUCUGACAGCUGUUUGUGGUGCAGCUUUAAAACCUCAGCCCAGAUGUGGGCAGCAGCUGCUUUCCCAGUCUGCAUUGGAAACGGG